rnacentral:misc_RNA from 1 species
AGCUGCAUGGUUCACAUGCACAAGAAUCAUGGAUUCUUCAUCCCUGAUGUCGAGUAUCUUAAGGAUCCCAAAGGGUUCCUUACUUACCUUGGUCUCAAGGUUAAAAGGGAUUUCAUGUGCUUGUAUUGCAACUACAGAUGUCUACCUUUCAGCAGUUUAGAAGCAGUUCGGAAGCAUAUGGAAGCAAAGAAUCAUUGCAGAGUGCAUUAUGGUGA